AAUGCGCUACGGCACAGUACCAGUUGUGCAUGCUGUUGGUGGUCUGAAGGACACAGUGCAGCAAUUCAACCCCUUCAAUGAAUCAGGCCUGGGAUGGACCUUCGACGGCCUGAACGCAGAUGCUUUUAUCCACGCCCUUGGAAAUGCCAUGUGGACCUACCUUGAUUUCAAGACUAGCUGGAAGGGUAUCCAGCAACGAGGCAUGUCCCAGAACUUGAGCUGGGACCACGCAGCCCAGCAGUACGAGGAAGUCCUC
rnacentral:lncRNA from 1 species